AGUGAACGCUGGCGGUAGGCCUAACACAUGCAAGUCGAACGGCAGCACAGUAAGAGCUUGCUCUUACGGGUGGCGAGUGGCGGACGGGUGAGGAAUACAUCGGAAUCUACUUUUUCGUGGGGGAUAACGUAGGGAAACUUACGCUAAUACCGCAUACGACCUACGGGUGAAAGCAGGGGAUCUUCGGACCUUGCGCGAUUGAAUGAGCCGAUGUCGGAUUAGCUAGUUGGCGGGGUAAAGGCCCACCAAGGCGACGAUCCGUAGCGGGUCCGAGAGGAUGGCCACCCACCCGGAAACUGAGACCCGCCCCAGCCCCUCGGGGGGGCAACCGGUGGGGAUUUUUAAGCAAGGGGGCCAUGCUGUCCCCACCCAUCCCGGUGGAGGAAGGAAGCCCUUCUGUUUGUAAACCCCUUUUGUUGGGAAAGAAAAGAAGCUGUUUCAUCCCCCCCGCCUCUGACGUCCCCCAAAGAAUAAGCCCGGGCUAACUUCGUC
rnacentral:rRNA from 1 species